rnacentral:rRNA from 1 species
AAUAUUGCGCAAUGGGGGAAACCCUGACGCAGCAACGCCGCGUGAGCGAUGAAGGCCUUCGGGUCGUAAAGCUCUGUCAUUAGGGACGAAUAAAAUGACGGUACCUAAGGAGGAAGCCCCGGCUAACUACGUGCCAGCAGCCGCGGUAAUACGUAGGGGGCGAGCGUUGUCCGGAAUUACUGGGCGUAAAGGGCCUGUAGGCGGCUGGUUAAGUCAGAUGUGAAAGGCCCCGGCUUAACCGUGGUAUUGCAUUUGAAACUGGCCAGCUUGAGUGCAGGAGAGGGAAGUGGAAUUCCUAGUGUAGCGGUGAAAUGCGUAGAUAUUAGGAGGAACACCAGUGGCGAAGGCGACUUUCUGGACUGCAACUGACGCUGAGGCGCGAAAGCGUGGGUAGCGAACA